AAACUUCCMAAAGGUCCGGGAUAACCCCGGGAAACUGGGGAUAAUACCGGAUAAAUCACAAGUACUGGAAGGUUUUGUGGUUGAAACUUCCGGGGCCUUUGGAUGGGUCUGCGGCUGAUUAGGUUGUUGCCGGUGUAACGUACCGUCAAGCCUGUAAUCAGUACGGGUUGUGGGAGCAAGAGCCCGGAGAUGGAUUCUGAGACACGAAUCCAGGCCCUACGGGGCGCAGCAGGCGCGAAAACUCUACAAUGCAGGCAACUGCGAUAGGGGAACAUCGAGUGAUACUCAUCUUGGGUGUCUGUCCUCCCGUCUAAAAAACGGGAGUUAGCAAGGGCCGGGCAAGACCGGUGCCAGCCGCCGCGGUAAUACCGGCGGCUCGAGUGGUGGCCGAUAUUAUUGAGUCUAAAGGGUCCGUAGCCGGCUUUGCAAGUCUUUUGGGAAAUCCAGCGGCUUAACCGUUGGGCGUCCGGGAGAUACUACAUUGCUUGGGACUGGGAGAGGUAGGAGGUACUCAGGGGGUAGGAGUGAAAUCCUGUAAUCCUUUGGGGACCACCGGUGGCGAAGGCGUCCUACCAGAACAGGUCCGACGGUGAGGGACGAAAGCUAGGGGCACGAACCGGAUUAGAUACCCGGGUAGUCCUAGCCGUAAACGAUGCUCGCUAGGUGUCACAACAAUCGUGAAUUGUUGUGGUGCCGUAGGGAAGCCGUGAAGCGAGCCACUUGGGAAGUACGACCGCAAGG
rnacentral:rRNA from 1 species